UACGUAGGGGCUAGCGUUGUCCGGAAUCAUUGGGCGUAAAGCGCACGUAGGCCGAUUGUUAAGUCAGGGGUGAAAUCCUGGAGCUCAACUCCAGAACUGCCCUUGAUACUGACGGUCUCGAGUCCGGGAGAGGUGAGUGGAACUGCGAGUGUAGAGGUGAAAUUCGUAGAUAUUCGCAAAGAACACCAGUGGCGAAGGCGGCUCACUGGCCCGGUACUGACGCUGAGGUGCGAAAGCGUGGGGAGCAACAGGG
rnacentral:rRNA from 1 species